rnacentral:lncRNA from 1 species
UUGCUGGGAUGCACCUUUGGAAUGUGUGAGCCAAGAAUGGGCGCGCAUGCUCAUGGAACCUGCAAAGGAGGCGCACCGGGGAGGAAAGGGCGGGGGCAGAGAUCACCCUAGGAGUGUGCACAGCGGGCAGCUGCCGGUGGAGGGUGUUUGGUACGAGGGAGACAGGCUCAUGGGGAAAUGCAGCUGGCCCUCCCGCACUGGGGCCCCAGCGCUGACAGGGGACGGCGUAGGACGAGGAUCCCAUGGGCUAGGAGGGCGAGAACUGCUAUGCCAUCAGGUGGCGGCUUUGGGGGCUGCUAGGAAAAAUGGCUGCCAGGGGUCCUGUAAAGCAAAGCUUGCUUGGGGAAUGGGUGAAGAUGUAUGUUCUCCUGGAGGCAGCUGAAUUUUUGGCAUGGCCAAGAGGACCUGGGGUGGACCCUUGACCCGCAUUGGGCCCACUCUUGCUUCUCUCCCAGGAACUAAGACUUAGGAUUUAUGAAUGCUGGUCUGUCUGUGCAGGAAUGGUGCGUGAGG